rnacentral:lncRNA from 1 species
GGUGAGAUGGUGAUUAGGCCAGAGUUAAUUCUGGGCCUAGAACUGAUUUGUCAAAAUGAAAUGACACGGGCAAUGUUGUGUCAUGGGGACUCUUAACACAUAUACCGUAAAAUGGUCACAGAUUUUUGUGACUGGAAAGUAUUAACUGCCCCUUGGCUUGCCACAGUAUCUCAUGGAAACGAGGCUCUGACUGACUCAUGCGUUCGGCAGAUGCCUAAUGCUGGCAGCAAGCUCCUCUUUUGAUGUGGCUUCCCUCUCAAACUUAUCAUGCCAAACUGCUAGAGAAAAAGAAAAUUCAUUCCACGGGACUAAGUUCCUACUCAUCUUGGCUGCAGCACAUAGGGAGGAGAGAGCAAAGAAAAUGAAAAAGAGCAAAUGGAAACUGUGUCCUGAGGUGAAUGGUUCCCCUCAAGCUGUCUUCACAACAAAACAGACCCUGAGCCCUACCAGAGGGAGGAGGAAAAAAAGACCAAAAACACUGUGAAUUAAGAAAUUUGUCAGAAGAAAAGGGGGGACCACUCGCUGAGUUUGCUCUCUCGGCCUCUCACCAAGGACCUCAGGACCUGGAGUCUUCCUCAGCCUUGGGCUAUAGGCUGCUCACUUCCCUCUCUGGGCCUCAUGUUUUCCUCAGAGACGGCAGCUCCCCAUCCCCCUCGGCAGGCCUGCAGCUUCGUGCACUUGCUUUCCCAGCACCAACACAGCACCCCCUACAUAGUGGGUGCUCAGACCCCUUUUGGUGAGUACAUUCGUGAAAUUCUGAGACCCAGAAUUCUCCCUGAGACCAGGUUCUGAGAACCUCUGGAGGUUGCCUCCAGAGUCCUUUGGAAUCAAACCCAUUUUCUCCUGGGAAGCAUAGCUCUCAGCUUAGGAAAGUACAGGUGCCACAAUGUGGGAACAGAAGCUACAGUGAGAUCAGAGCAGAUGAUAUCUAGAGAACCUCCUAAAAGGAAAAGUAUGUGUCAAAAUAUAAUGGGUAAUUUUGCAAUGUGAUAGAAAGUGUUGUUCCACGUUUUCAACCCCAGCUUUUAUUUGGGUUAAAAACUUUUCUGUUUCCUUUGCCUGAGUCUGAGACUUACAUCCUGGCUUAGAUACUUAUGCUGUACAUGUAUGUGUGUAUAUGUAUGUCUAAGUCUGUAUAUAUGCAUAUAUGUACACUCUGAUCAUAAUCACAGCACCGUUGAGGCCUCUGAGGUGAUCCCCCAAUAAAUAACAUUUCUCUUCCCUAUCCAGAUUCUGAACAAGUUAAGAAGUAAAAUAGAAGAAAAAAGCCAGAGGCCAGGAUGUCACCCUUAUUACUGAUAAAGCUGGAUAGGAAGGCAUAGGUUGGUGUAAGAGUUAAACAAGCUGGCUUCCUGAACCCCAGAAUCAGGUAGAUUUCCCACCCGUUCUCAACAGUGCUCUCCAGGGUCAGGGGGUGAGAGAGGGCAGCCCAGGGAGACCUGCUCUAUGAGGAUUUUCAACAUGAAAUAUCACAGGAGAACACACGCCAUCCCUGACCAGGCCUGGCCCCAAAAGAAUAAAAAAAAUUUUUUAUUAGUUCUUUUCUUUAUUAGUUCUUUUCUCUAUUAGUUCUUUUCAACUAUACCUGGUUGUUUUCCCCAUAUUUACUGAUAAAAGAAAGAGAGACCCAAAGUUAUAUUAACCAAGCUUCCCUCACAAGAAGGAAGCAUCAGAAGUGGGAAAGAAGUGUCCCCCACUAAGAUGCAAAUGUAGCACUUGAUCAUUUGAAUUAAAUGUCUGUUUACAUACUGUCUCCCUCUUAAGAUCAUAAGCCCCUUGAGGGAAGGAGUUAUGUUUUAUUUAUCUUCCUUUGUGGAAACCUUGUACUUAGAAGGCAUGCAAAUGUUUGCUGAAUGAAUAUGGACCUGGAGUCUAAAUAGCCUUAUGUUCAAAUCUUCUUAGCCAAUUACUAUGAAAACUGAGCAGUGUUUUACACAGAAGUUGCAAAUGGAUAGCCCACAAACUACAUCCAGCUCAGACAUGAUUUCUUUGGCCCACAGGGUAUUGGUCCACCAGUGUCUUAAAAGUUUGUAAAUAAGUUAAUAAUACGUAAAACUCAGGAAAUUUCAUAUAAAGAUCUGGAUUUCUGGCUUCUUCUCAAAGCUUGGAAGACUUGAUUUGGUAGAUGAUUGCAAAAAUAGCCUCAAUUUUUCAUCCUUCCUCUUUUCCAUACACUUUGCAAUGCCACUUUAUAGUUCUUCCCAUAAAGGGUUGGAAUCUCUAUCUCCAUGCUCUUUCUCUGGCUUAGCCUUGUGACUUACCCUGGUCAUAGAAUAUGACAGAAAUGACAGUGAAUCAGUUCUGAGUUUGGACCUGCAAGGACUUGUUUACUUCUCUCUUUUUUUUGGAAACCUGCUAAGACCCCAUGUGAACAAGCUUGGACUAGCCUACUGGCCUAUGAGAGAUCGUACUGAACAAAGACAAGUUGUCUCAGUUGUGCCAGCCAAGGCCCGAGACAUGGGAGAGGGCCUUUCUGAGAUGAGCAAAGCCAGCCCACAGCCAACCCACCAGCUGACAGCACAUGCAUGAGUGACUCCAUCCAAGACCAGAAGAACCACCCACCUGAUCCACAGAUUUUGGACAAUAAUAAAAGAUUAUUGUUUCAAGCCACUGAACAAAUUACCAUUUGUUACAUAGUAGUAGCUGACUGAUAUACCUGGCCACAUCAGACCAGCUGUCCCUCUUGGCAAUACUUAGGUGGGGUGAGCAACCCCUUGAAUGAGGCAUGAGUUUUGCAUCGCCCCACUGUUCCUACCACUGUUCGCUAUUAUCUCUCUCACCCAGUAGCUGAGUGAUAGAGGACAGUAAUUACCAUUGUUGAGUGGUUGUUUUCCUCAUCAUUGUGUUAAGAACAAACUAAAAUAGUUCUUAUAAUCAAGACUAUCAAUAGAGAUUAAGAGAGCUACAUAUUCUAAGCAGAAUGAGAGAAAGACAAAAUAUCUUCUUACGCUAACUACCCUAACUCCGUAUAUGAACCUCUCAGUGUGAGCCCUUGAUUCAACACCUCCCAGCUUCAGUGUUGUCUGUAAAAUGAAGUUAAGGACACAUGCCUCAGAGGAUUCUUUAAGAAUUGAGUUCAGUUUAGCAGAAUAGCAUAGUGGUUUAGCAAUAUGCUCUGGAACUAGACUGCCAGGGUUUAAAUCCCAGAUUUCCCACUAACUAAAUCUUUGCAUGGUGCCAGAUGGAUGCAAACUGCUUCUGAUAGAUGAAUAAUAAAGCUACUUUAGCCUCUUUCAUCUGUAAAAAUUACUUCUAAUCUGUACCUUGUUCUAGUAAAUUCCUAUCAAAGCCAAUGGUAAAGACUAUUACUUUAGAACUACCCUGAGAACUAAUAGGGACCAAAACAAUGUCAAUUUGCUGAGAAUUAAAUAAUUUUAUAAGAAUUAUGAAAUAUUUAUGUCUGUGAUCAAAGGAUAAAUACCUUCUGAAAAUACCCCAGAGAAAUAAUGUAAAGGCAAAUACACUUAGAUAUUUACAGCAUCCACUUAGGCCAUGGAAUAUUCAGCUACAGAAUAAAUAUCACCACGAAAAAACAUAGAAAUUUGUUCAGAAAAUAAUGUUAAGUAAAAAACAUAUGUAUACAAAAUAGCAUAAAUAUGUCAAUUGCAAUUCUACAAAAAUAUAACUACACAUUGAAAAUGAUUGGAAAAGAAUAUUGUAUAAUACAAGUGUUCUAAGUUCAUAAGAUUUUAAUAAUAAUAAUUUUAAUUACUUGUUAAAAAUUAGCAAAUAUACUGUAACUAUAAAUUUUGGAAAAUGUAGAUCAUUAUACUAUAUUAUUAUAAAAAGUGUAAGUAUUAAUAAGCCGUUACUCAAAAUGGAGCAUAGUCUAUUUUAUAUUUGUAUUUGUCAAUAAAAUUAAAUGAUUAUCAGUAGACAUAAGAAUAAGCUAUUAUAUAAGCAAAUAAUUUUGUUU